CUUUUCAUUAUAUAUGCAGUAGUCUUGUAUUUUUGUGGCAAAUGAGCAGAAUUAAGAGAUGUAAUAAACUACAAUGUAGUUUAAUUUUCCUGUUCCUAUUAAGUGUCAGCAUUUCUGAAGGUGAACUUGGUCUGCCCAGCAACACAGACUGAAACCCACUUAUAUAACUAUAUAUAAGACACAAACCUCAUAGUCGAUUAUGUAACAGCCAUGUUAGAUCGUCUUUGGUAUCAUAUAUCCAAUUUCUUCAGCCCAAAAUCUUCAUGAAUCCCGACACUAAACAACUCACAACUCAACACAAUACGGGAUAUGAAAUCAGUCAUGUAUGAGUUUCUAAGAUACUUUACCCGCGAGCUAUAUCAAUAUACAAAGAAUCUUAAAUUUGGACGCAUGGUUACCUAAGCACAUCGUGAUUGUAUGUCAGAUACAAUGAUCUUAGUAGAGCGUGUAAUAAAUUGAUAAUAUUCAGUUCCCCUCAGGUUUUAAACACAUCAGAUCGAUACACAUUGUCUGAUUGGUGAGAAAAUUUGAAUGAUAUUGUUACACAGGCAUUUAGCCAGGGUCCUGAAGAGGGCGUCCAAUUUUAGUACAACGAUACAUCUACAGCAAAAAGGGGGGAGGGGGUUUGAGAAAAUGAUCCUCUGGAAAACCUUUGAAGUUUAUGUUACUUCAUAUCAGUAUAUGUUCCAAGCUCAAACACACUUGGCUUUGUGAGUACUGAGUUUGUGCCGCUAUGCUUCUUUACUUAACUACGACAUUUUCAUUCAGCCAAGUACACCAUCAAAUUGAUCAAAAUGUCAAAUGUAUAAUAAUAAUGAGAAUUGAAGAUAUUUCGUUUCAGAUAUAUUAAUAUUCUUAGGGAAAUAAUUGAAAAUAAUUUCCCUUUCCCCCAGAAUUUGGGCGUCCAAAGGCGUCCAUUUUUUGUUCUAGGUGCGUCCCAGGACGCCUGGAUGCCCUUCUGGCUAAAAGCCUGGUUACAGGGAGUAUUCAUUAAGCACUAUCGUGCAGCGGUCAACCUGCUGUUAUCAGAGUGAGAAAAUAAUGUUCAUUCUUUUUAUAUAGGGAGACGAAUAAAUUGAAUGAUGAUAUUUUCUGUGUUGGUGCAAUGUACUCAGGUGAAUAUGAUGCUUGUGAUGUUACUCUUAGUGUAUAUCCACACCGGGCAAGCUUGAAAAAUAUGCCUGACCAAGGUGGGAAUCGAACAUACAAAUUGAAUGACGUAGUUUAAUUUUGUUGUUGCUACAGUGCUAACACUUCUCGAAACGACCAAAAUCUACCAUCUCGUAAAGACCAUUUAUCCACUCAAGAAAAAUUUCCACGGACAGAAAAUUUGCCGAAAAUAUCAUUGUCAAAAUUUGAAAAUUUUCAACUUCAAAAUUUUUUUUUCAACCGAAAAUUUUUGUCGGCCAAUCACAAUUUACAAAAUUAUUUCUGCGGAAAAUUUUCCGAGUGGAAAUGGGCCAUCACGCUUAUACAUGCUGGGGAAAAAUUCCAUGAUUUACCAUGUUCAAACCAUUCAUGGAAAAACUGUUACUAUUACAAACUGGUUAUUGUAAAUUUCCCAAAUGGUAAAUUGGUCACGAUGUUUAAUAAAUAACCAAUAAUGGUAGAUUCUUGGUAGAAGGAACUAGAUUCUGUUCCGAAAUAUCACAUACUCGAACCGACCAGACCGCGUAACUCAGUUGGCAGAGCAUUGGGCUAGUAUUCCAAAGGUCGUAGGUUCGAUUCCCACCGUGGUCAGGCAUAUUUUUCAAGCUUGCCCGGUGUGGAUAUAC
rnacentral:tRNA from 1 species